ensembl:lncRNA
AAAGGCAGGUUUAAGGGCCUCAUCCCAAACCCGGUGAGACAGAAUGUCCAGGAGAGACGGUUAAUUGAGCAAUUAUGGGCAAGUUACUCAACUCACACGGGCCUCGGUUUCUUCAUCUUACAGUAGUGACAGGAAGAGCACUCAGCCGUGGGGCUGUGUGAAGAUUUAAUCGGCAUUCAGGUGACGAGCUUAGCAGCGUGCUGGCACCCGGUCCACACUGUUACCUGCUUACCUCCCGUUUUCUGUUCCAGCUCAGGCGCACCUAUGACGCAAGCCUCAGAGCAAAUUCCGCUCAGGAGAUCCAGGAAGCUCUGGCCUGGCCCUCCCUUCUAGAAAGGAAAGUCCAAGAGGGAUGCCACACCCAGAGGAGGGGAGAGAGGACAUGACAAUACCUCCAGGAAUGCAGAGCCCACGCAGGUAUAUACAGUGGUGUUUUCUGAAGGGGCAUGACAUGUGAUGAUUAUCACCCUGAUGACUGUUGGAAGGUGUGCUUUUGUGUUCCUGUGUUUGGACAUCGAUGAACAGUAAAAGACGUGACACACAUAAACAAAAUGCUUGGGGGCCUCUAUAAUUUUUAAGA